UACGGAGGGUGCAAGCGUUAUCCGGAUUCACUGGGUUUAAAGGGUGCGUAGGUGGGUCUGUAAGUCCGUGGUGAAAUCUCCAAGCUUAACUUGGAAACUGCCAUGGAUACUAUAGGUCUUGAAUACCGUGGAGGUGAGCGGAAUAUGUCAUGUAGCGGUGAAAUGCUUAGAUAUGACAUAGAACACCAAUUGCGAAGGCAGCUCACUACACGCAUAUUGACUCUGAGGCACGAAAGCGUGGGGAUCAAACAGG
rnacentral:rRNA from 1 species